GCGGCACAAUUCAUAUUAAAACAGUCCUUCAUUAAUCGUACAAAACACACAGAGAAGCUGAACAUUACAUUGUUACAUACAUGUGAUAUAAAUUCAAGCAAGUGUAAAAAAAAAGAAGAAAAGGCUGGAGUUACAGAUAGUUCCUUGGUUUAGUGUACUUUUUGUCUUGCUGUUUGGCAAGGCGUUGCUGGUUAUUCAUCAUUUGUUGAUUUGCCUCGGGAAGGUGAAAACUGUCUCCUGCAGGGUGAAUCAAGGCAGUUGUAUAAAUGUUGAGAGAAAAAAAACAGAAUUUACAUGAACACUACAACACAGUGCAAGAACAUUAACUCUUUUUUGUAUCCACUUUGUGCUUAUAGACUGAUCAGAUGGCUCACCUAAAUGCGGUGACGGUCAUAUAGUCGUGGGGUCGCCAAUGACCGAGUAGCAGCCGGAGCAGACGCGCGAGGGAUUCCUUUGAGACUGAUCUGUUCCCCUUCUUCUGCGCACCAGCCUUGUGCUGACAUACUGCGUCUCCUCACUCUGGACAGUGAAACAACGGUUAAUGUGGAGAUGACUUCCGGGAUCUUACAGUGGUUCUCCAGAACUUUUACAUAAUUUUGACAGUUGUUUGCUCACGAGCGAAUGAAGCUCCCGCUUUUUGUGUACUACAUUAUUCAACUGUGCAUGCGUAGUAGGUGUGCAUGCAUUAUCGUAUCCCAUCGUAUCGUGAUAUUGUUCAUUUUGGAAUAAAUAAAUAUAUACGGUAUAUUAAUAAUGUUUUUUGUGCUUACGCUCCCGGAUUGCAUUUGUAAGCACUUACAAAUUUGAAAAAUAUUUUACGAUUUGGAAAAGUAUUAAGAGAAUAAGAGACAAUAAAAAAAUAUAUAUAUAUAUUAUAUAUAUUUUCCUUUUACACAAAGUGUCACAUGAAUUACCUCAAUAUUACCCAAGAAAAAAACAAUAAUAUUGACAACUCAGCUUUAGAAUAUGGUAGACCUUAAAGAUAUAUUGUCCUGGUAUAUACACAGCUUCUUUCUAUUUAUUUUUUACUUAGGCCUAUUUAUUUUACACAUAAAAUUAAGUAAGUUCCUAAAACACGCCAUGAAAUGAUACUUUUACAAUAAUUUAAACAUACGUUUCUUAUGAUCCAAUGGUUACUAACAAAUAAAGGGUACUCUUCGAAAACGAUGACAAAAAGAAACAGUUACACUCCUGGCAAAAUGAGCAAAACAGUGUAUAAGUAAUCAUAUACAAUUGCAAAGCUUACCAGAAAAGACUGGAAGUUUAUUUCACCAUUUGUUUCUAUGGGGGCAGAUUGUGUCGUAAUUAUUGCAAUGGUGAAAAUGACCAACGCCAAUACCCUCUGCAUCUUCAUCUCUUCAGUCUGUGUCUGCAACGGAGGCAGUGCGGAGCCUUUAAGACAGCUUCUAAAUAGGCACGUCUGUUACUGAUGGGUGGGUCUCUC
ensembl:lncRNA